rnacentral:rRNA from 12 species
CCCUAUACACUUAGCCCCGGUCCUGAUCUUGACUACCCUCAGAGGCAAGCACGGUGGGGCCUAGUUAGUACUCGGAUCAGAGACCACCUCGGAAUAUUAGGUGCUGCAGGGG